rnacentral:rRNA from 1 species
CUACGGGCCGCACCAGUCGAGAAUCAUUCGCAAUGCACGAAAGUGUGACGAUGCGACGCCGCGUGGAGGAUGACGGCCUUCGGGUUGUAAACUCCUGUCAGCAGGGAGCAACGCUUUGUCGGGUAAUACCUGAUGAAUUUGACAGUACCUGCAGAGGAAGUCACGGCUAACUCUGUGCCAGCAGCCGCGGUAAUACAGAGGUGGCAAGCGUUAAUCGGAAUUACUGGGCGUAAAGGGUCCGUAGGCGGCCUGGUGUGUCGGGUGUGAAAUGCCACAGCUCAACUGUGGAAUGGCACUCGAAACUGCCGGGCUAGAGUUCUGGAGGGGAGAAGGGAACAGUUAGUGUAGCGGUGAAAUGCGUAGAUAUUAACUGGAACACCGGUGGCGAAGGCGCUUCUCUGGACAGAUACUGACGCUCAUGGACGAAAGCUAAGGGAGCGAAAGGGAUUAGAUACCCUCGUAGUC